UACAGAGGGGGCAAGCGUUAUUCGGAAUUAUUGGGCGUAAAGGGCGCGUAGGCGGCCUUGCAAGUGACGGGUGAAAUCCCUCAGCUUAACUGGGGAACUGCGUGUGAUACUGGAUGGCUUGGAUUUGGGAGAGGGAUGCGGAAUUCCAGGUGUAGCGGUGAAAUUCGUAGAUAUCGGGAGGAACACCAGUGGCGAAGGCGGAGACCUGGGCCGAUACUGACGCUGAGGUGCGAAAGCGUGGGGAGCAAACAGG
rnacentral:rRNA from 1 species